CAGUCGCCGCGGUAAAACGGAGGGUGCAAGCGUUAAUCGGAAUUACUGGGCGCAAAGCGCACGCAGGCGGUUUGUUAAGUCAGAUGUGAAAUCCCCGAGCUUAACUUGGGAACUGCAUUUGAAACUGGCAAGCUAGAGUCUUGUAGAGGGGGGUAGAAUUCCAGGUGUAGCGGUGAAAUGCGUAGAGAUCUGGAGGAAUACCGGUGGCGAAGGCGGCCCCCUGGACAAAGACUGACGCUCAGGUGCGAAAGCGUGGGGAGCAAACAGGAUUAGAUACCCCAGUAGUCCCUGUCUCUUAUAC
rnacentral:rRNA from 1 species